CGGCCUGUUUUUGUUUUUGGUUUGUUGUUGUUGUUGUUGUUUUCUUUUUCUGCUGGCCUGCUUGCUUUUGAUUUUGGGAACAAAACAAAAAGUCGAUGCUGGAAGAAUUUUGUGUUCCACUCAAAUGCACGGAGAUCCUUGUGCUCUUUAGGAGGCUGUAAAUCCAUCGCUCGCAGUGCCCUGAGUUCCUUCUCUACCCCAGGGGCUGGGAGAACAAGGAUUGCUGGAGUGCGAGGCCGGCAGUACCCAGGGGAGUGAGCCCUGGGGUUCCAGGAGCGGCAGUUUGGGAGGGGCUCCCAGGGGGAGGGGGACACCAGGCAUCCAGGCACACACCCUGGCCUGGGCCCCAGUUAUGUGCCCCCGAGGCAGAUGGGCCCUCGUGGCGAGGGCGACUCUGGGCCUGACAUCCAUGGCUCUCUCUGCCUUCGUUCCCCUCAGCCUGUUUCCAGCUGUUUCCAGCAUCAAAAGGAUUAAAGGAUUGCGGCUGACUUCAGGAGUCGGGGAGUAGGAGGGCGGUUAGAGCUGAUCCCAAGGCUUAGGAGCCAGAGACGAAGGAAACCUUGAUCCCAGGAAACAGCCCGGGAGAGUGCUACACCAUACAUGUCUGGCCCCCAACCAGGAAAAAAGCCGGGCUUCGCCUAACCCCUCGAUUCUUCGGUGGCAGCUGAUCCAAGAGGCCUGGACACUGAGAAGUCAUCAAGCACUCUUCAAGCCAAUGGGUCUGGACCCCCUAUGCCCAUUUCCUGGAUUUUAAAAAAUGAUUGUCGUAAGAAGAGAACACUCGUGUUUGCUUUACCCUAAGUCCAUGAAAGCUCACUUCUUUGUGUCCAUGGGGAAACGAGGUACCGAGCCUGGGUUAACUGAGUCAAAAAGCUCCCUCCAGUAUUCCUGGUUCCUCCACGUUCAUUCUUUCAGCAUUGAAAGCCAUCAGUAAUAGCUCCCCUCCCCGGAAACUCAUCCUCAGCUCGGAGAACGCUAUGGCAAGCAAGUUUGCACUUAAAAAGAACCACAACUACGAGAUGCUUGAAGGGACUUCUUCUUUGCCACCAGGCUAGAUGACCAGGUGCAGUUUGCAGCAAGUAUUUCCUGUCUGCGCUUCAUUGUCCUCGUCUGUAAAAGAGGACAGAACCUUGCACGUCCUGGCAUGUGAACGGCUGCCUGGGAAGUCAUUAUCAGGAGGGCUGGACCUCCCUGUCCCUAGAUGUGACGUCAUUCAAGUCACCCCGUGGUGCCCUUCUCUCAUCAACCGAUUAGGCAGACUUUGCUUCUGAAGACUGGGGCGGCUCUGGGACGUGCGCAGCUCUGCUGUGUGUUACUGCCUUCCGUGAGAGGCCAGUGGGGUCUCGUUUCUCCAUGCACGCUCCCAGAGAAGGUCACGUCUCAAGAACAUCUGGGAUUCUGAGCCGCAGGACCCCUACGUACGCCCUCAUCAGUGACCAGACUCUGAAGUCGGAAGGUCAGCCAGGGUGUCGGAGUGGCUGGCAGCCCCUCGCUUGCAAGGUGAAAGCUGCCGUGGGUUGGAGGUGCCUUCCAAGAGCAGGUGGCCCUGGGGACGAGUGUGGCAUCAGAGCUGGUGCCAGAGAGAGGCUGGACCUUGGGUGCAGAGGCUCAAGGAGACAGAGGAGCUAAGGAAGGAAGCCGGGGGUCAGGUCGAUGGAAUCAGUGGCAGUCGGUCCCCAGGUCAGAGAGGCAGGAAACAGGUCUGGGGCUGUGACCUCCGCUGAUCAGCCAGCAAGAUGGGCCGAGGCCAAUAUUUCAGGAAGUCAUCUGGGAACGCAGAGAGAUGUGGGGACUUUCUCAAUAGGAGCCUGUGAUGUGGCCUGGGAAUAGCUACCCUCUAGAUGAAAGGGUUGUACAAAUAAGCUUUCUCAAGCUCUUGCAAGGUGCAACAUUUAUUUCACAUCUUUAGGGGAGUUAGCAGGGGGUCCCUGUCCCUUUUAGACACUCAGACAGGCCUGAGCUUUGCCUUUGAACUGAGCAGUCCCACGACACUUGCCCUCCCUCCGUUAGGCCGGCCGUCUGUGCAUCUGGCGGAAAGACCUUUCAAAGGAAGUGACGCCCCUAAGUCGAUGGCUGGCCGUGGAGAGCAUGCGUUAGCGAAAUGACGGAAGUUUGCUGCCAAUCUCAAGGGUUCAGCUGUGCAAAGCGGAAGUGGCAUGGUUGACCUCAUACCGAACCGGGGUUUCCAUGUCCUCCUUCCUCUGCUUCCCUUCCUGUGGGCAGCCCCGUUCUUCCUCUCAACCCAUUCACCUUGUGAAGGCCAAGAGCAACAGCUGUGCCUAGGCUCUGAGCUUUUGUACGCGCUAACUCCUCUGUCUAUAGUAGUUGACCUAAUCCUCGAGACAAUCCCCAGAGUAGGCAGUAGCACCCCAUUGUUUGGAUGAAGAAACUGAGGCUCACAAAGAUUAAGCCCCUUGCACAAGAUCCCUUCCCAAGGUCACAGCCAGCAGAACUGGGAGUUAAGUCCAAAGCCCAGGCGAAGAUCUUCAUCAGAGUGAGUUCCGGCUCCUGAUGAGGUCGUUAGACCCCAGUGAGUGUGAGUUGUGGGCAAGAUGGCGUCCCCUCUCAGGGGUUCUCGUUGUUAAUCAUGGAACGAGAGUUCGGGUCUCCAAUGGAAGGACAAGAGGCAGCAGGAAGGAGAGGGCUGGGUGCAGCCGUAUGUAAGUCAGGUGUGUUGCAGGUGCGUGGGCCACCUGCCAAGGUCAGUAGACUCUGCUCCACCUCCAGCGACAUCUGGGAGGAAGAUGAGCCCAGGGCUGCCUGGGACCCUUGCUAGACCUAAUUUCAGUGUCUGCACGUGUUUGGUCAACUUCCUUAUCGACUUAGCCUGUGCCCUGGGACCCUUUGGGACCUAACCCAGCCCUGUGCUUGGAGCUUUUGCCUCCUGCCUCUGCCUUGUCGGGCACAUGUGCGGCUACUUAUAGUAGCAACAUCCGCUCUCCCAGCCAAAUUUCUCCAGCGCCACUGCUCUGCCCCCUCAACCUCCAAGCCAGCUUCCCCCUGGCACCCUGCUCCUGAGCUCUGAGUCUUGUCUGUGAACCCACUACUAUUUUCUCACACUCCCUUCUCUCCUCCCAGCCACAUCUUUGCAGGUUGUGAUUGUCCCUCAAAACUGGCUCCAACUGCUUCUCCUUUGCUUCAUUUAUCUUCUGGGAGUAAAGUCAUCAGUCCUUAACCCGAAACUGGCGGCAGACACGCCCCCUCCUCAGCACCGCUGCUGACAAAGUGGUCUAUGACCAAAGGAUCUCGAAAGGAGGGUAGGCUGCACCUCCCGCCUCAUCACUGUCCCCACGCUGCAGAGGGUCUGCGGGCCACGCUCUGUCUUCACUCCCCCACCCCCUCCCACUCUCGUGGAAAGAAAAAGAGAGCAUGCAACAGAGGCCCCCAAACAUUUCAGGACCAGGGGAUCAAGAGAAGAUACCUGGACAGCGCAUCACAAGCCACCAGGAGCUGCGUGCCCUGGCCUUCGUGGUGGAGACUAGUACAAGGCGUGCUGGAAUCGACGCCAUGAGUUUGGGAGCCGAGAGGUGACUUGGAUUUAAUAGAACAAGCUGCUACAUGAAAUCUGUCUUCUUACAGUUCAUUAAAGGAAGUGGAAAUAGUCAUCUAUUAACAGACUCCAGGUCUCGAAGGAAUGGUUUGUGACUACAAGUCCGUUUCUGGGUACACACGGAUAUGUGUGUGCAGAUGUCGAA